UACAAAUCCGGGACAAAACAAAACGGAGCGGUAAGGUAGGUAACGCACGAGGUAGGAGGUGAGGGAGGGACAUAUUUAUCCCUGAGCGCCCUGUCGUCGGCACCACUGUCUCAGGCAUCGCGCUCGACAGACAGUCAUCGCGUUAGGGAGAGUCCACCCAGCCUCGGUCCCCCCUCUUUCUUCUACCUGCGCCUCGUCCUCAGCGCCACCCGCCGCCGCGUCCGCUAGCCGCAGCCGCUCCUGGAGCAGGGCCGGCGCGACGCCGUGGACCUCAAGGAGCGGCGCCAGCUGGCGGCGGCCACCGAGAUGCUCCCGGGCGACGAGGUGUCCCGGUAUGCGUCCAUGUUUCGAACGACCGAAGGGGAAGAACGGUUCGUGUUACUCCGGCGACAACGUCUACUCGGAAACCAACAAGGGGAACUAACACUUACCUAUACCGUGACAGUAGCCGAAUUGGGCUGAGCUAUGUAUUUCCUGACGUUCUCUAAUAUACCGUCCUACGACCUGAGAUUCUUACAGUCCAGGAGGUAAGUACGUUUCAGGUUCCUAGUCAGACUCUUUCAAACCUGACUCAAUAUAGGACCCCUCGGAAAACUCAACCUCAUGUGUUCGGGAAGACUGCUAAGACAAAUGCACCUACUACCUUGACGUCCCCCGUAAAGGAUACUAAACUAGAGUCGACAAUUCUCUGUCAGAUGAAAGCAGAUGGUCCAACCUUGUGGUUUGUACGUACUAGCGGCAAAAGAACUUCUGCGAAAUCGAGCCAUGUUUCCGAAAAACAUAGACUAGUUCUACUUAGUCCUCUUUCCUUACUUGGAGAAAGCACACGGUUGGAUGCUACACCUAGAUUACACCGUGUGGGUGGUUGACUUAAGACAACGGAUGACGUUACUGUACGACACAGAGGAACCCUUUCAAGACCUCGUACUACUGUGUCUACUACUAGCUCGGCUUCCCUUCUUCGAGCUGUGGCCUAAAAGUCCCUGGUGGCUCGUCAAACUCUUAUCGAAACCACACUCUAUGACCUUCCGACCGCGAUACAUGGCACCUUCGAACGGUAGAGGACACUGUAGGUAAGGUGUCUAUAAGUCAUGAUCACUCCUACUAUCACAAAGGCCACGGCUAUUUCGUCUCUUCGUAGAAUGAUAAGAACUUUGUUGUCAACACCUCAAUGUAAAUGUCUAACACCUGUAGUUCUUAAAUGGCAGAAGUUAAGGUCUCUUUUCGCACAUACAUACCAAGUGGUUCUGAUUUGGUCUACGUAAGUAGGCACUACCGCCGUCCAACCUAUAAAGAUGCUUUUGUCCCUUCUCGUAGCCUCGACCAAAGGUUACACUUGGCUGACCGCUAGAGUAAGAAUGUCAUUACUAACUAGUCCGGAUAAAACCCCGUAGUAGUAGUAGCUUCUUUGGUCUUGGCAACCCCUUCCAAAGCUAGAGACAACUUCUCGAAUGCGUCGUACUAAGGUUCGAAAGGAAACUCUCCACCAAACUUGACUUUUGAACACCACGCAUACGGCCAAGGGGAGGACAGUCAGAAGCACAACGACGUAGAACAUGGCAGGGUUCCGUCCGAGGUGUGCAAGAACCGUACCAGUUACACUUCGGAACGAGAGACUUCCGGACAUAUAACGGUGUAAGGUAGUUCCUAGUUUUAUACUCGAGGACCUGAGCGAAGCACAUACUAACACCAUGACUUGAGUAAGCAGAAGUCUAUUCCCUCGUGUUCCGGUUCUCACCGUACCGAGAGUGAGCCCUUAACCAGCCUCAUUGUUUCAGUAGUUUCGUCGGUGAAGUCGAACGUCUUAAGUGUCUUUUGUUUACCAGAAAAUUGUUGAGGUUGAGUAGGUAGUGAGAACUGGACUUUGGUUCGUUCCUACCGACGUAUUUGCUCGAGUUUAUGCUGUUGUUUGACUAGUUUGAUAUGUUCCCUUCCUCUGAUCGUAUACUUGAGUUUACGACGUCAGUCGUAUGACUACUAUGACGUCGUCAAUGACGACACUUCAAGAGUCGACUUGUGGGGAUACCGUUUCGUCAGCGCGAUCAACUGUGACUUAGCCUUAAAUAGAGCCACCUACUCCUAACCAAGGACGAAGGGACCUAGCGCUAUAGUAAGAACAAGGACUUAAGGUAACCGUUUCUACCACGCUUCGAGUAGCUUCCACGGUACCGUGUCUUCCGACUUUGGCAACUCGGACUAUGAUGUCACCAAAGAGUCUGCCACUUUCCACCUCGUCGUCCACGGUGACGACCAAGCCGCGUUACACCGCGAACACCGUGCCGACCAACGCCACUGUACCAGUACCGUUCACUGUUCCGACCAGUACGAUCGAUACCGUCGAGUCAGUGACGUUCACUGUUCCACCGACUAAGAUUCACGCCACCAACACCUAGUCCAACACCACCACCUACGCCACAGAGACACCAGUGGUACUCGAUGUUCUUACCAGUACGCUCGACACCGUAGCAACGUCCGCCGCUCUUACCGGUACAACUCAGACGACCCACACCUAGUCCUACGCCACCAAGGACACCACCGUUGUACCAAUAACUUUCGAGGUUUCUCCCCUUGUGGCUCAGUCCACCGACACCAAGUCCAACACCACCUCCUCCGACACCGUCGUACCGGUAACUUCCGAGGUUCCGACCGUAACGGUUCAGAUCGCCGACGCCAAGUCCAACACCACCGCCAACGUCGCCAUACCACCAACUUCCGAGGUUUUUACCGGUACGGUUCAGUCCGCCGACACCGAGCCCGACACCACCACCAACGCCGCCGUACGACUAGCUUGUGAGGUUUUGAUCGACGUGGUUCAGAUCGCCGACACCGAGUCCGACGCUGCCACCAACACCGUCGUACCAGUACCUUCCGAGGUUCUACUCAGUACGGUUCAGUCCCCCGACGCCAAGUCCAACACCGCGGCCGACGCCGCGUACGACU
rnacentral:rRNA from 1 species